AUGGGGCUCUUGCCUGGGCUGCUCAUCCAGGCUGAGCAGCAGGAGGAGCAGGAGGAAGAGGAGGAGGAGGAGGACCAGAGCCUGCUGGGAUUCAGCUGCCCUGGAUACAUGUCCAGCAGACAAACCUGGUGCCCGCAGUAGCAGAGCUGUUCCCCAGAGUCAAUGCAGAAGAUGAGUGGACCCUCUCAGGACAAUAAGUCAACUGACAUGGGAAGUAACCUGGUUGAGGAUGAGCACAAAGAGAGGGGUGUUGGUGGGAGCAGCUUCAUAGCUGGAGUCUUCCUCCAGUCCAUGAGUAAGAAGAUGAGUAUCUAUGAUGCCAUGAUAAGGGGGCUGCUGACACCUGGCACAGCCCUGGUGCUGCUGGAGGCACAGGCUGCUUCAGGGCUCCUCACUGACCCCGUGAGGAACCAGAAGCUGUCGGUGGAAGAGGCGUUGAUGGAGGGACUCAUCGGCAGUGACUUCUAUGAGAAGCUGCUGUCGGCCGAGGGAGCUGUCACCGGCUACACGGAGCCUUACACAGGUGAUCGCAUCUCCCUGUUCCAGGCCAUGCAGAAGGAGCUCAUCGUGAAGGAGCAUGCUGUCCGUCUGCUCGAGGCCCAGAUCGCCACCGGCGGCAUCAUUGACCCCAUGCACAACAACCGCAUCUCGGUGGAAGCAGCCCAUGAGUGUGGGUACCUUGACCAGGAGAUGUGUCAGUUCCUUUCUAACCCCAAGAACCAAACAAGAAGCUGCUUUGACCCCAACACCCACGAGAACCUCACCUACACACAGCUCCUGCGCCGCUGCCUGCCCGACCCGGACACGGGGCUGCUGAUGCUCCAUGUGAUGGACAAGGGCUCUGUGGUCCAUCAGCUCAGCAGAGAUGCUCGGAAAGCCCUUCAGGCCACCCGCACUACAGUCAGUGUGGGGCUGUUCCAGGGGCAGAGCAUCACCCUCUGGGAGCUGCUGUUCUCCCGGUACGUGCCCGAGCAGCAGAGAGAGGAGCUGCUGAGGAAGUACAAGUCAGGGACAGUCACCAUCCCAGAGAUGAGCACCCUCCUCACCACCAGCAUCACUGGGGCAGGAAGGAACAAUGAGCAUCUGAGCUCAUCCACAGUUACAGCCAACAACAAGGUGGGAGCAUCACACCCAUCACAACCAGCUCAGGACAUGCACUCCCAAGAGCAACAGCUGAGAAAGUCCCUCAAGUCUGCAACCGUCUAUGUCACUGCUGGUGAAUUCCAGGGGCAAAAGGUUUCCUUGCUGGAUCUGCUCUUUUCCAGACAUAUCCCACAAGGGAGGCGGCAGGAGCUGCUGGAGCUGUACAGAGCAGGGAUACUGACCACAGAACAAGUGGCCAUGGUGGUCACCACCAUCAUAAACAGAACUGCAGCUGCUAAUGCCACACUUAGGGCCGGUGCCAGAGGUCCACACAGGGCAGUGACAAAAGCAGAGGAGGAUGGAGGUGAUUCUUCAACACAAUAUGAACAACUAGAUAACACCUUGAAGUCCACCACCAUUGAUGUGCUAGCUGGUGAGCUGCAGGGGAGGCAGGUGUCUGUGUGGGACCUGCUUUUCUCUGAUUACAUCCCUGAGGAGAAAAGGCAGGAGCUGCUGGAGCUGUACCAUGACAGGCUGUUAACUCUGGAGCAGAUGAUAACUGUUGUCACCACUGUCAUCAAGAAAAAGGAAUCUACAGGCAGGAAAUUCCAUGUUGCAGCCAAGGCUUCCAACAAGGACACAGCAACAGCAGCAGAAGAGAAGGAUGGUGACUCCACCAAAGAACCAUCGGAAACAGCCUUGAAAACCACAGUCGUUGACUUGGGUGUUGGCCAGUACCGAGGCCACAAGGUCUCAGUGUGGGACUUGCUGCACUCCAAGUACAUCCCCGAGGAGAACAGGAAGGAGCUCCUGGAGCUGUACCAGGCUGGAGAGUUAACCCUUGACCAGGUGAAGAUGGUGGUGAGCACCAUAGUGUCAAAGGCAGAAGCAGCGAGGGUGAAGGAGAACAGUCCCAGGGCAGAGUCAACAGGAGCUGAACACACUGAGCUGCAGGAGGACGGGGCCUGGGAAGAGACCCUGAGGACCACCACAGUCGAGGUGUCAGCAGGUGAUUUCGAGGGGGGACAGGUCUCUGUGUGGGACCUGCUCUUCUCCAACAGCAUCCCUGAGGAGAAAAGACAGGAGCUGCUGGAGCUGUACCGCGGCAGGACACUGCCCUUGGAGCAGUUAAUAGCUGUUGUCACCACACUCAUCAAGAAAAAGGAAUCUACAGGCAGGAAAUUCCAUGUUGCAGCCAAGGCUUCCAACAAGGACACGGUGACAGCAGCAGGAGAGGAGGAUGGUGACUCCACCAAAGAAGAACCAUCGGAAACAGCCUUGAAAACCACAGUCGUUGACUUGGGUGUUGGCCAGUACCGAGGCCACAAGGUCUCAGUGUGGGACUUGCUGCACUCCAAGUACAUCCCCGAGGAGAACAGGAAGGAGCUCCUGGAGCUGUACCAGGCAGGAGAGUUAACCCUUGAUCAGGUGAAGACCGUGGUGAGCACCAUAGUGUCAAAGGCAGAAGCAGCGAGGGUGAAAGAGAACAGUCCCAGGGCAGAGUCAACGGUUGUAGGAGCUGAACACACUGAGCUGCUGGAGCUGUACCGUGCUGGGACAGUCACCAUGCAGGACCUGUUGAGCGCUGCCGGCAGCAUGGAGACAGGCAGCAAGGAAGGUCAUCUCCUAACCCUUCCCCAGCAGACAGUGGAGCUCCUGCAGUCUGAGGGCUCCUACAUCACCUAUGGGCCGCUCCAGGAGCAGAGGGUUUCCGUGUGGGACCUCCUCUCCUCCAAGCAAGUCUCCGAGUACAAGCGAGAGGCACAUCUUGACAGUUACGGUACAGGCGGACUGACGGUGAACAAGAUCACCAUCACCACGACUGUCACCACAGGCCCUCAGCUCCAGGAGAGACACUGCCAGGACCACUGACACAGCCCCAGAGGAGGCACAGGCUUCAGCCCCAAGGCUUCCUCCCAUAUAACUCAGUGAUGGGCAUGAAGAGGUGACAGGUCUGUGUGUGGACGGGGCUGACACCCAGUUAAACUUGCUGGUGUCCCAACCGCUGUGUGCCUGUGU
ensembl:lncRNA